GCCGAAAAGGCAACACGGGUUUGAUCGAUACUCAACUGCCUCCUCCCCUCCGCUCGGCGCUCGCCACCGAACCUCCUCCCCUUGCCCUCCUCGCGCUGCCGUAGGUAGGAGGGCCCUGGCCGGCGCGCUCGCUGUAGCUUCGCGCUCUGCUCGCUAAGCGGAGAGCGCAUCCGCCGACGGCCUCCGUCGCAAGGCUUUCAGUCAGGUUCGUUGAUUUUGAAUCAUGGCAGAGCACUUAGCUUCAAUAUUUGGUACAGAGAAAGAUAAGGUCAACUGCCCAUUUUACUUCAAGAUUGGGGCUUGCCGUCAUGGGGAUCGGUGCUCUUGUCUUCAUAACAGGCCCACCAUAUCACCAACUGUUGUGUUUGCGAACAUGUAUCAGCGCCCUGAUAUGAUCACGCCCGGGGUUGAUGCUCAAGGCCAGCCGAUAGAUCCCCGCCAGAUGCAGGAGCAUUUUGAGGAUUUCUAUGAGGACAUCUUUGAGGAACUAAGCAAGUUUGGUGAGAUUGAGAACCUCAACGUCUGCGAUAACCUUGCGGAUCACAUGAUAGGCAAUGUUUAUGUCCAGUUCAGGGAGGAAGAUCAGGCAGCUGCAGCUCAUACUGCUCUCCAGGGCCGCUUCUACUCUGGGCGCCCGAUAAUUGUUGACUUUUCUCCUGUGACCGACUUCCGUGAAGCGACCUGCAGGCAGUAUGAGGAGAAUAGCUGCAACCGUGGUGGAUACUGCAAUUUCACGCAUGUCAAACAGAUUGGGACUUGGGAGGGAUCUGAGGAAAAAACUCUUUGGCCAUUACAGAAAGCCACAACGAGGCAGGAGCCGCAGCCCAAGCCCAAGCCCACGCCAUAGGAGGGAGCGACAUGAUCGUGAUGACUAUCGAGGACGUGACGAUUACUCUGGUGGUGGUGGAAGGAGGGGUGGAAGCAGCAGACAUGAAAGGCAUGAUGAUGGAGGAAGGCGUAGGCACGGUGGUAGCCCUCCAAGGCGUGCGAGGAGUCCAGUCAGGGAGAGCAGCGAGGAGCGCAGGGCCAAGAUCGAACAGUGGAAUCGUGAAAGGGACGAAAAGCAGGGGUGACCGGGUGAGUACCUGGAGGCUGGAGGGCAGAGUAACGCAAGCAUUUUGUCCGUUUAAUUCGUACUCCGGUGGAGUACGUGGUAACUUGUUCUGUAGUCGAUGCUAUAUUUAAUUUGUGUUUGACUCGGUAACUUGCAGAUCGAGGAUCCUUUUGUGAGGCUAUUAUACAUUUCGAAAUACUAAGCUAUUCCCCUCCAAGUUUGCUUUAGCUCAGUUGCCUGUGUGUAGUUUCUUC